UAGACAGUGUGCUUCAAGGUACAAGGC
rnacentral:piRNA from 1 species